rnacentral:rRNA from 1 species
AUUGAACGCUGGCGGCAGGCCUAACACAUGCAAGUCGAACGAAGUCUUCGGACUUAGUGGCGGACGGGUGAGUAACACGUGGGAACGUGCCUUUAGGUUCGGAAUAACUCAGGGAAACUUGUGCUAAUACCGAAUGUGCCCUUCGGGGGAAAGAUUUAUCGCCUUUAGAGCGGCCCGCGUCUGAUUAGCUAGUUGGUGAGGUAAAGGCUCACCAAGGCGACGAUCAGUAGCUGGUCUGAGAGGAUGAUCAGCCACAUUGGGACUGAGACACGGCCCAAACUCCUACGGGAGGCAGCAGUGGGGAAUCUCGCGCAAUGGGCGAAAGCCUGACGCAGCCAUGCCGCGUGAAUGAUGAAGGUCUUAGGAUUGUAAAAUUCUUUCACCGGGGACGAUAAUGACGGUACCCGGAGAAGAAGCCCCGGCUAACUUCGUGCCAGCCGCCGCAGUAACAC